GGAGCCCGCGCCAUCCGAAUGUGGUGGCGGGGUGCUCAAUGGCGGAGACACUGGUUAGUCGGAUGCCGGCAACGGUCACCGAUGUCUAGUACACGCCCCCUUCGUGGGGGUGCAGGAACGACGGACGUGAUGCGGCUGGGGUUCGGCGUAGAGCACCCUGUUGGGUCCUGAAGGAACAACCUCGUGUUGUCUUUCAGAGCCGACGAGCGGAACCAAGGGUUCCGCCGGCGCCAGGCACGGCCUGGUGUGGCAUACCGUCGAGAUUGUUCUCGGGCUGGUGUCGCGCUGCGGGUUGUGGGUUGGU
rnacentral:misc_RNA from 1 species